rnacentral:rRNA from 1 species
UACGUAGGUGGCAAGCGUUGUCCGGAUUUACUGGGCGUAAAGAGCGCGCAGGCGGUUGGAUAAGUCGAGUGUGAAAGCCCCCGGCUCAACUGGGGAGGGUCACUCGAUACUGAUCGACUUGAAGGCAGGAGAGGGAAGCGGAAUUCCCGGUGUAGUGGUGAAAUGCGUAGAUAUCGGGAGGAACACCAGUGGCGAAGGCGGCUUCCUGGCCUGUUCUUGACGCUGAGGCGCGAAAGCUAGGGGAGCAAACGGG